rnacentral:rRNA from 1 species
AUUGAACGCUGGCGGCAUGCCUUACACAUGCAAGUCGAACGGCAGCACGGGUGCUUGCACCUGGUGGCGAGUGGCGAACGGGUGAGUAAUACAUCGGAACAUGUCCUGUAGUGGGGGAUAGCCCGGCGAAAGCCGGAUUAAUACCGCAUACGAUCUACGGAUGACAGCGGGGGACCUUCGGGCCUCGCGCUGUAGGGGUGGCCGAUGGCGGAUUAGCUCGUUGGUGGGGUAAAGGCCUACCAAGGCGACGAUCAGUAGAUGGGCGGAGAGGACGACCAGCCACACUGGGACUGAGACACGGCCCAGACUCCUACGGGAGGCAGCAGUGGGGAAUUUUGGACAAUGGGCGAAAGCCUGAUCCAGCAAUGCCGCGUGUGUGAAGAAGGCCUUCGGGUUGUAAAGCACUUUUGUCCGGAAAGAAAUCCUUGGCUCUAAUACAGUCGGGGGAUGACGGUACCGGAAGAAUAAGCACCGGCUAACUACGUG